GAUAAAUAUAAUAUGCUUACAAAACCUAUUAACUUUUUAAAAAGAAUUGCUAAUAAACAUUGUGUUUUUAUAGACAGAUUAAAUAAUUAUGAAAAUAAAAACUGUAAUUUAUUGAUAGUAGGUUGCCAUGAAGACAUAGAAAGUUGCAUAUUUUUUCUGGAAAAUGUAAAUUAUAGUGAAAGAAAUGUAGUACAAAUAAACAAGAAUGUUGUUAAAAAUAUGUUUAACAUAGUAGAUGGUAAAAUAAAAAAAAUAGAAGAAGACACGAAUGUAUUUAUUCAAUUAGAUAAUAAUGACUUUUUGUAUUAUUGUGGUAUGAAACAAGACGUACAUAAAUUAAAAAAAUUAAUUGAAGAAGCUACAGAAGAAUAUAAUUCACAUGUAAAGUCUAUGACAAAAAGCAUAAAUUUAAAUUAUCUAAAAGCUAGAGGAUUUGACAGAAGUUUAUUAAAAGAUAUAGAACGUAACACAAAUACCAUGAUUAGGAUAAAAUAUGAUAUAAAUACAAAAGAAGCAGUGGCUGAAAUAAAAGGAAAAAACAGUACAGAUAUAGAAGAAGCAGAAAAACAAAUUUGCGAUAUUGUCGAUAAUUUACAUACAAAAUGUAUUGAGUAUGGUAAAAAUGAAAGGUACAACAUUUUUAGGAGAUGUGGUUAUGAAUUAAAUGACAUUAAAAAAAAAUUAAAUGUAUUUAUUUUGAGAAAUGAUAAUGGGUUUGAUUUUGUCGGUUCUGAAGAAAAUAUAAAAAAAGCACAGGAAGUAUUGGAUUAUGCAUUAAAUGUAAAACUUAUUACAUCUAUUAAAAAAACAUUAACAGAAGAAGAAUCUUAUUUGUUUAAUGCAAAUUUCCGUAAUCAAAUUAAAGCUAAAACUGGAGCAGAAGUUAAGAUAUAUAACAAAGAAGAUUACAAAGAGUUAAAUAUUAGUGGUAAUAAAACAGACAUAGAAAAUGCUUUACAAAUGAUAGAUGAAUUAUUAAGAGAAAAAAAAUGUACUGAAGUAGCAAUUAAUGAAGAUGUAAUUGCUUUAUUGUUAUCUGCUAAAGCACAAAAAAUUAAAGACAUUGAAAAGGAUACAUGUACUAGUAUACAAAUAAAUAAAAAUACAUAUGUUGCACAAAUA
rnacentral:lncRNA from 1 species